ACAUAAUCCAAUAGUUCUAUAAACCAAGUCUUGAAAGCUAGAUUCUCUUUUCCGCUUUUUGCAUCCUUGUCAUUCUUACACUUCUUUUGUCAAUCAUCAAAACCACAAUGUUCCUGUCAAGGCAUAUAUUCACACAACAGUUGCAUGUCUGUGUAUGCAACUCGUCCAGACUCCGAUCAUUAGGUAUUCCUCCUCUUGUCUUUUCUUUUUCAUAUACUCCCUCUGGUUCUUUUUAUAAGGAACACUUUGAAGAAAAAAAAAUUUGUUUUUUUUAUAAGAAAUUUUGACCAAUUUUCAAAUAUUUUAAAUAUUCAAUGUCACGUAUGCCCUUAUAUAUUAUGAGAGAGAAUUUAAAAAUAAGUAAGUUAGUCGAAUAAAUAGUAAUUAAAUAAGGGUAUACAUAAAAUAAAUUUAAAUAUAUAAGAGUAUUAAACAAAAAUAACUAUGUUAAAUGUGCUUUCUUGAUCUGUGUAAUUUUUUUAAAGUGUUCCUUAUA
rnacentral:lncRNA from 1 species